rnacentral:rRNA from 1 species
UUAGCCCUAAAUCUUGAUACUUACUCUACCGAAGUAUCCGCCUGAGAACUACGAGCACAAACGCUUAAAACUCUAAGGACUUGGCGGUGCUCCAAACCCAC